CCAUCAACAUCAUCAGCGGCCUUACUUACUGUUUACCUAGGUGGCCACGGCCCACAGCCCCUCAAAAACAACAAGAACACUGUCUGCAGCACCUUCCUCUCCUUGGACAAAUAUAACAUGCCGCCCAACACUCCCUCUUGCCACUCCUUGCCAGGCCCCAUAGAUGUAGCAGGGCCUGCCUCCCAGACAAGACAAAAGCCAGGACCAGCCUUGCCCUAUCUCCAGGCUCAGCACACCACCGAUGGCUACCCACCACCCAAGUCUGGCCUCGCCCUCAAAAGGGCUGCUCCUGACUGACAGCAACCUGAGGUGUCUGCUUUCCUUCCCAACCUCCCCAGCAUGGGUGUAGCAGAGUGAACGUACGCAGAAGUCAACCGCAGCAGCAGCCUUAAUCUGGAGAUCAAAAUGUACAAGAUGUCAGUCAGAGUGAAGACAAACAUCUGAUAAUUGUGUGGCCAUCCUGCCUGCCAUGAAGGCACUAAAGACAACUGCCUGUGAAGCCGCCACAUCCACCUUGACGACAAGCAAGCCGACACCUGUGUGACUUCUCUGCCUGCUGUGACACCUGACAGAUGCCAUGACAGGAAACACUUGACACUGCUGCAAGGAUAACAACACACCCUUACCUAGGUACAGACACACUAGCCUUACUUUGGCUACUUCACAUGGGUCGAUUAUUCUCCUGGCUAGUGCUGGCUAUGUUAGACUGGCUGGAGUUGUUGGCAAGUUUUGUAGAGGGAUAGUUGCAUAGACAGGGGUGGCUGGUAGUGGACUUGAAGGUGUACUAAACCACAAAUAAGUAAACCGGAUUCAUGCUUGUGAUGCUCAACACUGUAUUUUACUGACGUCGCAGGUGUUGGUGAGGGCCUCAGUGCCCAGGACAGAGGCAGGCUGUUCCUUUGUUUGUGGUGUUCACUCUAAUAUAUAUAUAUAUAUAUAUAUAUAUAUAUAUAUAUAU